rnacentral:lncRNA from 1 species
UACGUGCGCUGCACCCGCUCCGUCUCCAUCCCCGCGCCCGCCUACUACGCUCACCUGGUGGCAUUCAGAGCACGCUACCACCUCGUGGACAAGGAACACGACAGUGCUGAAGGGAGCCACGUGUCAGGACAGAGCAACGGGCGAGACCCACAGGCCCUGGCGAAGGCUGUACAGAUUCACCAAGACACCUUACGCACGAUGUACUUCGCUUAAGUCAAUGACCCGGGAGACACUCACCGAGAGGAGAACUCAGAACUUAAGCCACAUACAAUGA